CCGACACACGCUCUUCUUCAAUACAGUUCGGCUCUCUCACUCACUCUCUAUCUCUCUCUCUUUCUCAGCAGCUCGAUUCUCUCGUGAUCUCGCCUUCUUCGAUCCCAAAAAGACCCGUUAGAUAGUGUUCACUGAAGGUCUUGAUGAAAGCGCAAUCAAAUGGACCAAGCAGGGAACAGAAGCAGGAGCAGAAGAGCCACGAAUACAGUCUCCUUUAACGGGGAAAUCUUCGAGCGAACGGUUCCCAAAAUCUCUUCUUAAAUAUGGUGGCAAUGGUCUGAGUUCUCCUGUUUUGCCUCCAUUAAAGUUUCACUCUGGUCUGCUUACACCUCAUGGCCACGCCUUCGCUGCUUCAUCUGGCUUGAUCGAUGGCGAAAGUGAGGAAAGCAUUGAUUCAGUUUCGGAUGGCGAGGACGAGAAUGCACUGAUGGAGAGGUUUCUGUAUCAAAUAACUUGGGUUACUUAGAGAAGCCAAUCUCACAGUGCUAUGACGAGGAAGAAUUAUUUGGUUAUAAAGGGCUUAACAUUAAGCCUAAACCAGAAGGACGCAAUGGAAUUCUGAAAAGUGGACUUUCAAUUGAGAAUCUCACGGUUGAAGUACCAGGCAGUAGUAUGAGAAGUGUAAGUUGACAUGAAUGCAAGACCAAGACAAUGUCAGUAGAUAAUGAUGGAAGAAGUGUGAGCUCAAAUGAAUGGAAGACCAAGACUCUAGGAGCCUCUGAAAUCACUGAAAGACAAAGUACUAAGGCUAAAGGCUGCCCUGAUACACCAGAAUUCUUAUGAGAAGUGUGCCUAGCUCUUGGAAGUGCCUUUGGGUAGGUUCCCUUCUUUGUGCAAUCAAUAUGAAUUAUUGGCUUAUUCAUUCUGAAUUUCGCUUUUUUAUGUGAUUCCUAACCUGUUUCUUUGUAAUUGUUACACUCUUCCUGCAUCAUUUCUUCUCAUUGCCAGUGGUCUCAUUGAGCCUAGCUCUCGGAUUAUUGUCAUCGAUUUCUCUCCUUGUGUUUAGAUGUUGGUUUGGCUGCCGAGUCCAAAAGCGGAAAGUGGGCCUAUUUUUCU